GGCCGCUUCAAGCGCUGCAAGCGCCCGCCGCAGAGUCUGCAGUACCAGCAGUCUGACACGCAGAACAAUUACGAAGUGGAUCAGAACGUGCAGCCGGGCCAAGAGUCUUUGUGUUACUACCCGCUGGCGCAGGAGGCGCAGCUGCCGGUGGCGUACAGCCAGCUGGUGGGGGAGGCGCACGGCGUGCUGGCGCCGUGGCCGGAGUUCGGGGGCGGGGGCGCGGGCGCGGGGCUGCACUACGCCGGCAGCGAGCUCGCCACCAGUUGAGGACACCCCUCAACACAAGACGUGAGGUGUGGUUAAAGUAAGUUAUCUUACAAAACUCUUCUACUUGCCCUAGAUACGCUGGAUCUUUUAUUUCAUAAAUGUAGUGAAUGAUCAAUUUUGUAAUGCCGGAAUGGUGAUGUUUAUUUUUAAUUUACAUUAUUCCUAUCCGUCCAAGUAUUUCAUGACAUACUUUUUUCAAAAAAA